CGUUAUGGGCGGGCCGUGUGUGGGGAGCCUUUGUGCUCCGCCUGCCCUGAGACAGGUCCGCCAACCCGCACGGUUCCGCUCACCCAU
rnacentral:antisense_RNA from 1 species